rnacentral:rRNA from 1 species
AGAGCGAACGCUGGCGGCAGGCCUAACGCAUGCAAGUCGAACGGAUCCUUCGGGAUUAGUGGCAGACGGGUGAGUAACACGUGGGAACGUGCCUUUUGGUUCGGAACAACUCAGGGAAACUUGAGCUAAUACCGGAUGUGCCCUUCGGGGGAAAGAUUUAUCGCCAUUAGAGCGGCCCGCGUCUGAUUAGCUAGUUGGUGAGGUAAAGGCUCACCAAGGCUUCGAUCAGUAGCUGGUCUGAGAGGAUGAUCAGCCACACUGGGACUGAGACACGGCCCAGACUCCUACGGGAGGCAGCAGUGGGGAAUCGUUGCGCAAUGGGCGAAAGCCUGACGCAGCAUGCGCGUGAAUGAUGAAGUCUUAGGAUUAGUAAAAUUCUUACGACGGGAUGAUAAUGACAGUACCGGAGAAGAACGCCCG